AGAAUCAACGCUGGCGGCGUGCCUAACACAUGCAAGUCGAACGAGAAAGGGGUAGCAAUACCCUGAGUAAAGUGGCGCACGGGUGAGUAACACGUGACUAACCUACCCUUGAGUGGGGGAUAACUGAGGGAACCUUAGCUAAUACCGCAUAAUACCUACGGGUCAAAGGAGCAAUUCGCUUCAGGAGGGGGUCGCGGCCGAUUAGUUAGUUGGCGGGGUAAUGGCCCACCAAGACAGUGAUCGGUAUCCGGCCUGAGAGGGCGCACGGACACACUGGAACUGAAACACGGUCCAGACUCCUACGGGAGGCAGCAGUGGGGAAUUUGCGCAAUGGGGGAAACCCUGACGCAGCAACGCCGCGUGGAGGAUGAAGUCCUUCGGGACGUAAACUCCUUUCGAUCGGGACGAUUAUGACGGUACCGGAAGAAGAAGCCCCGGCUAACUUCGUGCCAGCAGCCGC
rnacentral:rRNA from 1 species